CGGAGUGAGCGGCACUAAGGUAAGUUUCUUUCCUUGAUGCUUGAAAGAAUACCUAUUGGUACGACCAUCGUGAGUGACUUUUCGAUCCAGUUGCCAUGGUUCUCCUAGCAAUAAAUGGCAGGCUUGAAUAGGUACUACGUUGCACACGACUUCGUCUUGAUAUUUACCGAUAGAAAAGGCGAUGCGCACUUGUUGAGUGACCUUAAAUUGGCUUUCGUUGCUAAGCCCUUGUAGUUGAUAAGGUCGUGGAUGCUUGGUAGUGGUUAAGCAAAGCUUUUCCACCAUCGUCGUGCUGGCUACGUUCGAGCAACUUUCACCAUCAAUAAUAACUCUACAAA
rnacentral:lncRNA from 1 species